AAAAAAAUAAUAAAGAAAGAAAAAAUAAAAAAUAAUUCACAAAGGCAACAGACAAGAGGGAAGGGGCGGGAGAAAGAAUGAACAUCUGCAUGGUAACACCAUCCACAGUUACACUCAGAAAGGUUCACCUAGGAAGCCAGGGUUCUAAUCUUUCGUGAAUUCUUCUGGUCUACAGUAGGAAGCUAUAUGAAAUAGCAAAAGACCAUAGGGCUUGGAGUCAAACUCACACAGAAUGCAUUCCAUAUUUAUUAGCCCAGUAAUCAAUGAACUGAAAAUUCUCAUAGGCAACCACACAGCCUCGUGCUGGGCACAUGGUAAAUUUUACACAGGAAUGACAGAAAUUUCUGCUUUUUCAUGAAUCUUCUCUACAGUAGUGUGGCUCCAUUUCAACUUGGGUCUUGUUGCAAUAGUCUACAUAGGAUGAAAAAGCACCUGAUGAUGGUAGUUUUCCUCUCUCUGAAAGCAAUGGCCAGCAUUUACAGAGUAUUACUAUUGCCAGGCACUGUACGAAGCACUGUGCCAGUGUGAUCACGUUUAAUACUCAUCGCGACCCUACUUUUAGAUGAGUUACUAUUCUUCCUAUUAUCUUUAGACAAGAGACAUAAUAUAACUUGCUCAUUGUUCCCUCCGGUAAUUGGACUCUCAUCUGGCUGACCCCAACGUGUCUGCUCGUCACAGUCUUGGCUUCCUCUUGUCUGUAUCAAAUGGUCUUAUUCUCUGUAAACAUAACCCUUGGACACUCCAGAAGAGAAAUAAAGUUGUUACCACCCCAACUCAGUUCUGGCACAUGUCCCUAAAGCUUUAGGCAGCUUUUAAUGUAUUACAACUAUAAAUAACAGGACAAGGCAGCCUUUGACCCCACAUGUCAGAGAUCCCCUAUCAUUCUUUACUGUGUUGGCCAGCAGGCAAGGGUUUUUAUUGAAGUGCAUUUUCUGGUUUCUCUAACUCCUGUCUCCCAACCAAACUAUCCUGGAGAAGAUCCUUGUCUUCUAAUCUCUUCCCAUCACAGCAGGCUUCCUACAAUUCCUGCAGCAUAAUGCAGAAAGAAAGGGAGAAAAAGUGUUGACUGAUAUUUCUGGCAAACAUUACUUAAGCUGAAGAGGAGCAUUGCAGAUUGACUAUUAGACACUAUGAGACUAUUAGUGCUGGUAAUGCCAGGACGCUUCCUUGUCAGCAUUCCAGUUUCAGAUUUUUAUGACUGUUUAAUUACCAACAUGCUCCCACAUUGCCAGGAUGUGCCUCUUCCAAACCCUACUGGAAGUUCAGUGUCGAUUACAACCAGCUUACAUGCACUUCCUAAAUUGUAGAUCUUUAAUAGCUUUCUUUAUUCUAUGGCCCUAGCAGAAAUAGUCGAGAUAAUGGCUCUAAAUUUCCCUUUUAAAUCUUGUGUUUUCUUCCCAUGUGCCAUGAAAAUGGAACUGUUUUCUUUCUGCUGAAGGGUAAUUUUCCUGAUAAUGAUAUUUAAACAGGAGUCUAUUUCAAAAUGUCCAUGUUCAUCUUACAUGUUAUCUGGAGAUUCAUUCAUAAUUUUGUUUAGCCAUUUGAAUAAUUGUGGGAAUUACAUUUUGAUGUCAAUGUUGAAAGACGAGUUUAAUUCACAGAGGGUGAGUUUGUCAAGAAAAUAGCAUUGCUACAGAAAUAGGUGGUUCUUUUAUAGAGAAACAAAUUGAAUCCGUAUCCCAAAAAAAUGUAUACUCACCAGUCAACAAUGUCUCUGACAAUGUCUAGGAAACUAGAGAAGGUAUUCUUGGUGCUAAAAUAAUAUUCAGGUUUUUAAAUGGUAGCUAAGGAUUUUUUUGGUAAUGUAAUGUGUACAAAAAUAGAUUUUUCAAAACUGAAUAAACAUGUUUCUUAAACAAUGAUGAGCAAAAUAUGUUUGCUUAUACUGCACCAGCAAAUGGGGAAAACUUUAGUUCCUGUUGAAUACUUGGGAGAAACAGAAGCUCUCAUUGAGGUGGGAAGGGAGAGAGGCCAUUUCAAUAUAUUGAGCACUGAACACCCCCAGGCUUACCUCCCACAUGGUUAUCUGUCAGAUUGAUCAGACUGGUUUGUAACAAGUCAACAGUGAUCACUUUACGUUUAUGGUGGCAGUGUUCUAAUUUAUUAUCAGUACUAACGAUAAUGAUCAAUUUCAGAUAUUUUGCUAACGAUAUUGAGAAAUUUUCACACAGCAACUCUUAAAAAAGCUCUCCUGUCUGGGGAGAUGAAGGAGCUGCCUUAAGGUGAGAAUACAGACUAGACAGCAUCUUAAAAGUCCUUUCGGUCCUAUAUUAGGAUGAUGAAUAUUGUGUAUGGUGGAACCUUUCCACAGGCAUAAUUGAAUCUGUCCUUUUUCUGUUGUAGCUACUGUUGCCACCAACUCAUUUCUUUAAAUCCUCUUUUAUUAGGUUGGUGCAAAAGUAAUUGUGGGUUUUGUCAUUACUUUCAAAAACAAAAACAAAAGUGGCUUCCAAAGCUCAAAUCCACAGUAGAUUAGCGCUUUGUACACAACAUUGUAAGCUAAUUUGUAGCUGAAUCUUUAAAACCUGGCGCUUCCUUUCCAUCCGAUUACUCAGUUUGGGUUCUCCUAAGAGCAAGGUCUUGUUGAGAGAAGAACCCAGGUGCAGGGAGUUGAUCUGGGAAGUGAUCUCAAAAAGUGGCAUGAAGGGCAGAGAGAUUGAUACAGGGAAGAAUGCAGAGUCCAUAAAGAAUGAAAACUGAGCUGGUUACCACUUUAGGCAACUGGGGCUGAAUCUGACUGGGGGCUCUUUGAGGAAUUGUUCAGAAGGCACCUAGAAUAAUGAUGCCCCCCACCUCCCAUAGGUUUAAAGACUAGAGCAUUAUCCAGCAACCUCUCACCUCACCCCUCCUCUGCAAGUACCUCCUCCUUCCCAGCCUCACAUUAACGCCUACAUACUUGGCAAGUGGGUUCUGCAGUUUUGCAGAGAGUUCUGAAGCAGAGGAGCUGAGGAGCCUUAAGAUAGGAAGUCCUCACUGUUUAAAGGAACUGCUCAUCACAUCUACAGCUAAAAUCAGAUGUGGUUCAAGUCAGGAGUGGUCAAAGAGAUGAGCCAUGGAAUCCCAUUAGCAGCUGCCACAUUUUGUAAUUGCUUGUACUCCCCUCCCCUGCAUCUCCGCCUACCUCCCCACCCACUUCCCUCCUGCUCACACUCCACCUUGUGCAUUUCACCCACAGUCUUCCAUGGCCCCUCUAAGUCAGCUUGCCUUUCUCCUCAACCCCACCUCCAUCUCCCUCCUGCAUAACUUGUUCAACUGUGCAAUUCUGCCACCCUGCCUUUUCUUCCUUCCUCUCUAGCUAAAAUCAUCUUUGUUUAGAUGCCUCAUCUUUCUUAGCUGCUUUCCAUUUCAUUAAAACAACAUAAACAAAAACAAAAGUAGUUUCCAAAAUUCAAAUCUUAUAUUAGGUUAGAGAUUUGUACACAACAUUAUGAGCUAAUUUGCAGCUGAGUCUUUAAAAUCUGGUGCUUCCUUUCCAUCAAAUUACUCAAACCUUCUUCCCCACUCCAUGCUCCCCAGAAGGGAAUCUCAACUAAAAAUAGCUUUCGGUGUUUGAAAGUAGUAAUGUGGUGUGGGCUGAGGAGCUCACCUUGUGCAUGCGUGGAGAGAACUUUAUUCUGAGAGUCUCAGGAGACACAUACCCCUGCCUGGCAGGUGACACAAGAUGAUGGGACUCUGUGUUCUCUUGCAGCACUGAAGGCAUGUAAUGGAACUAAUUUAAGCAGGCAGGCCUGGGCCCACGGCUGUCACUCAUCUCAAAGCCCAAACUUUGUCAGGGUGCACAAGAGCUCUGACUGGCCGUAUUACCCAUGUGUUGGUCACGGUCCCCUGAAACAGGGCUCCUUUGCAGGGUACCCAGGUUGAACCUACACCUUCAAAGCCUUCUGCUCUCUUCCGUAGGUUUCCUCUGUAGCGUCAGAGACUGAAAAGAUCAUGGCAGGGCCUGAAGUAAUCUUUUUCUUUCAUGGAGAAUAAGCCUGAGUUUCAGACCCUCUAGCUCUAACUCCAUUAAGCAUACCUCUCUUGAGUUGCCAACACAUCAUCCUUGCUUCAAUAGCAGUGCUAAUUAGGUUGUAGUAUAAUUCAUCUGUUCAUGUAUCUGUUGCCUUCCCCACUAGACCAGAAACCCCCUGUGGCAGAAACCAUGUCCUAGCAAUAACAAUAGCUUCCAUUUAUUGGACAUUCAGUAUGUGCUAGGUAUUGUACUAGGGUUCUAAACGUACUUCAUUUUCUUUAUGGCAGUCCUGCUGGGCAGAUAUCCCCUUUUGUAAAUCAGAAAAUUUGAGAAAGCUCAAGUAUGCCCAGGGAUAUUCAGCUUUUAAAGGACAUUAGAGGAAUUUGGGCCCAAUCGCUUAUCUAUCUGAGCCAGUGCACCUAACUGAUAAGCUGCACAGCCCCUUCACUGCUUCAGUAUAUGUGUUUCCUGGCCAAGAAACCAGCUAGGAGUGAAUGAAAGAUACACAGACUGGGUUUAGCAAACUCUAGGCUCAUCUCACACAUUUAUUUAAUUUCUGCACUUGGAAAUGGUACAAUCACACUCAUCCUUCUACACUGAAGAAAUGCCAUGUUUCUUGCCAUCUAAAAAUAAUUUUAAUUGGUGUUUUGUAUCGUUUAUAGCAUUGACAUAUUUACUUUUGGUCUUUUCAAAGUGUAAAUCAUAUGUAGUAUGUAUGUGUGUAUGCAUGUAUAAAUAUGUACAUAUAAAAAUAUGCCGUAUAUAGCUCCUUGGAAACUGCUUUGUUCAUAUAGCAACAACAUAAUGCCAUGAGUAUUCUGUUAAAGUGUUAUUGCUGCAAUAUGGUCAGAACAAAUGUGAUUAAGUGAUCAGAUUGGAAGGGAAUGUUGAAGUCAUUACCCACCUUUAUCUAAACUAAUGGUCUCAAAGUUAUUUUUAACUAUGACUCAUUUAUUUCCUAAGGAAAUCUAUAUAAAACAUCAAUAGAUAGCAUAAAUAAAAUGGCAUUAUGGUUAUAUUUAUAUGAAUUUAUUUCAUAAGUACAGCUUUGUCAAUUUACUCAUUAAAAAGCCAGCCAAUUAGAGUAAUGAGGCUCAUUCAACCAGACAGCAAAUUUAAUUGGAAGUUUGGGAUGACAGUUGAAGUUUUACGGAAGCCUCAGCAUCUUUUCAUUGUGUAGGAGUGGGAGGAUCAUGGUCCACAUAGGUAUUUGUAAGGGGUCAUCAUUAUUUAACAGAUGCCCUGCAAUUAGCCAGAUACAUGCUGCAGAAGCUUGAUUUCAAGGUCUGCACAAAAAUGAGUUAACCUUGUAACAGCACCCAAACUUUGAUGUUCCAACAUAUCCAAGUUUUAUGUAAGACACAUUUAAAUUCACAGGUGCCACUUUUAUUACCAUUUUUUAAAUAGUCAAAAGCAAAUUUUCAUUAAAAAGUGAAAUCUUAACCAAAUAUUUGUACAAUCCCUUAAAGCACGCUUUAUAGAAGUCUAGGGUUCCAUGACACCCUAGGGUUUUCUAAAACUCAGCGAGGAAAUCACUGAGUUAGCUUUCCCUAGAAGUCUAAUAUAUUUAUAAAAGCUACAAACAGGGAGGCUACCCAGGCUGCCUCAGGAAUACACCCAAGUAUUUAAAUCCCCUAAUGAUGUUCAGACAAUUCCUUCUCAUGCGGAUUUAAAUCUCCUAAGCUGGUACCUAAGCUUAGCAUGAUAUAUAGACAGCUCUUGGAAAAGACUUGUCGACUGACAGAUGGAGGCUGCUGUGGAAGGGUAAGGGAGAUGAUUGGCCACUCUUCUUCUCGCCAAGUAAAUACGAUCUAGUCUCCCACUCGCUUCUGACUUGGCACUGUGAUUACCAUGAUUAGGCAGCAUCAUUUUCUGAUUAGCUCAACAUCCUGCCGAAACAAUAAUGGCUUCUUCCGGUCACCUCUGCAUA